rnacentral:lncRNA from 1 species
GAUGACACCACUUUCCACUCAGUACUCUUACUAAGUGAUGGGGCAAAUAAGCCCUUCCAAGGCUGUCCACCCCUGUGAAAGGUCAGCUGGAUUGUGGGAGACUGGGAUCAACAGGCUGGAUCUAGACCCCAUGAUAAAUAUUUUCAAGGGGUGGGACCUGAGACUCUCCACUCCAGAGGACCAGGUUAAAGCUGAAGGUGUUUCCACACAGCCAAUCUGGCCAAAUGCCUUAUCCAGUCAAACUACCAAGAUAUUGGCAGAUUUCCAAUUUUGGGAUGCAUAUAAUCUAAGUAAUUUAAAAUUAU